ensembl:lncRNA
UGUGUAUUUACGUUUGAAAGAUGAACACAAGGUAUAUCGCCGACAUCCUCUAAUGUUACUUAUCACGCAGCGUCGGAGCCUUUACGUUCACUCCACCCAGACAUCACCCCGAGAGUCUCACAACACCGACACACCGGUUUAAACAGAGAGUCACCCUGUAAAACUACGCGUCGACCAUUGCUAACUGCCUUGAUGUCAGCUCGUUCGCAGGUUGCCAUUGUCUAGUAAACAACCCUCCUUACUGCUAGCCGAUGUGGCUAGCUCCCGUUAGCAUCAGCUGCGGGUCCUACGUUUGACUGAACCUAGCUCCCGCCUGCCGCCGCCGCCGCUGCGCGUGAGUUCGGCCUGUUUGAAGCGUCGCCGUGGAUGUGUUCUGCGGACGUAGCGUUCAAGGAAAAGAGGAGAGGUUGACGCUAGCGCAGAUUGAAGAGCUCUGUUCCUAAAGAAAGGUGUCUGCUGGUUUGGACACACACACGUGUGCUUGUUUCUGUAGCUUGUUUGUUUGCAUGCGUCGCUGAAGCCCUCGCCUGAUGGAGAAGCGAGAACGGAAGCCGGGGUACUUUGCAAGGUAAGGGUUAACGUUUAUGCAUGAUUGUGGUGUUUCUGCACUGCAUGUCAGUUAUUUUUGGUGUAUUUCUGUACGCGUGCUAUAAGUUGGCUUUUGAUUUCAGUUACUGUGUGCAGUGCUUGCAGAAGAGCAAAUAUUGAAAACAAGAUUAUGUAAUAUAACCGGUGUGACAGAUUUGUUAUUGUAGUCUUUUAGAAGUACUGCUGUUAUUUCAUUAGCUAACCUAUUUAUCAUUACUCUUCAUUCUGUGCUAUGAAAGGUGUCUGAGUACAGAGAUGCUGGUGGAAAGGUGGCAUGCAUCACUGCUCUUGCAUGGACGGUUGAGCUGCGGUGGUGUACAAUUACAAAUUCGAUCAAAGUGCCAGACGAUACUGUGUGGGAGGGAGGGUGCUCAAAAGAUGCUUGCUACGGCUACACAUUGUAUACCAACAACACUCCAAAGAGCAUCGGACCUGCUGCAGAGUGACAGACAGCCAGAUGGUUUGGGUGUGUCUAUGGGGUUUCGCAUAAAUGCGUGCUACCUUUUUAACCCGGGAGGAAGUCUAACUGUAACAGGUGGAGGCGUGCAUGCGGCACAGAUUGUCUAAGGGCGUCUACCGUAGCAAAGCUGUCCACGCCUGUAUGGACUUGAGAGUACCUGCAUGUGGAAGUGGCGGUGGUGGAGGGGGGAAAUGGCCUAAUCUCUGAUAUAACACACACCUACCCCCCCAACCCGCGCCACAUGGCCGCUCACUUCCUAUGCUACAGUGCAGCACGGAGCAAAGGUCGACAUGGUAUAACAAGAGUGGACAUACGCAACUGCUAGUGCUCAGUGUCAGAAUGUAUUCCCUGCCCCCCCCCCCACACACAGACACUUUCCGUUGGCCAUUCCACUACGCCAGCCCUAACGCGAUAACAAAAAACACACUCCACUUUCGGCCCCCGGGCAACACCACUUACUGGUCAGUCACACGCAAUGCAUACGAGAUGAUGUAAUGCGUCCAGAUCUCUUUGCCGUAUCAGUCUCAGUUUCAUGGCAACACUCACUCAUGGCCCGGGUUUCAGUUCCUCCCUUAGACUCUCAUUGUUGUUAUUAUUAUCAUGGCUAGGGGCUUCCUUUGGGCUCAUCGAUGCACUUUGCAAGAUUUGCCCAGUGUUUCCCGGCGUUCUCCCGUGGUAAUGGACCCUUAGCAGAGACGUCUUGUAACGCUGUGUCAUCGCUCGUGCUCUCAUCAACGUUUAAUCAUUCGGAGGAGGAGCGAGAGGGAGAGAGUUGACAAGGAAACGUCUGGGAGAAAGUUUUCCUGCUGAUGCUGUCUCUAUUUGAGAGGCAAACUAGUGUUAUGGAGUGUGAGAUUAUGAGUAAUCAAGAACAAUCCUGGUGAGUGAAUUUGAGAUUUGAAACGUCGAUUUACAUUUAGGGCAUUUAGCAGACGCUUCACCAAAGUGACUUACCGUAAGUACAUUUGUCAGAAGAAAAAACAAUAUAUCGCUGUAAGUACAGUAAGGAUGUUCAUAGAACCAAGUGCCAAGCACUGACAAAUGCUAGGUCAACUGUCAAUUUGUGUACGGUCAUUCUCGUACACAAAGCUAGUUGUAUAAGAUGCUCCACAAUGCUAAGUACUAUUUCUAAGUGCAAAAACAUACAAUAAGUGCUUACAUUAAGUGCCAGGCGUACAGCAUACAAUGAGUGCUCAAGCGGGA